GAUGAACGCUGGCGGCGUGCCUAAUACAUGCAAGUCGAACGCUGAAGGAGGAGCUUGCUCUUCUGGAUGAGUUGCGAACGGGUGAGUAACGCGUAGGUAACCUGCCUGGUAGCGGGGGAUAACUAUUGGAAACGAUAGCUAAUACCGCAUGACAACAGUUAUUGCAUGAUAACUGUUUAAAAGGGGCAACUGCUCCACUACCAGAUGGACCUGCGUUGUAUUAGCUAGUUGGUGAGGUAACGGCUCACCAAGGCGACGAUACAUAGCCGACCUGAGAGGGGGGUCGGCCACACUGGGACUGAGACACGGCCCAGACUCCUACGGGAGGCAGCAGUAGGGAAUCUUCGGCAAUGGACGGAAGUCUGACCGGGCAACGCCGCGUGAGUGAAGAAGGGUUUCGGAUCGUAAAGCUCGGUUGUAAGAGAAGAAAGAGUGUGAGAGUGGAAAGUUCACACUGUGACGGUAUCUUACCAGAAAGGGACGGCUAACUACGUG
rnacentral:rRNA from 1 species